CUUCGAUGAUGAUACGAUGACGAGUCAGAAGAGACCCCCCCCUUCCGCCCAGGUCGAGCAAUGCUGCGCCACGUUCUGUGGCUCUGUGUUGGUGGCUUUGGCAAGGGGGGGGGGUCCGGUCAUUGGAUGAACUAGAGGCAUUUGUCUGAGAAGG